rnacentral:rRNA from 1 species
CUGGUUCAGAUUGAACGCUGGCGGCAUGCCUUACACAUGCAAGUCGAACGGCAGCACGGGCUUCGGCCUGGUGGCGAGUGGUGAACGGGUGAGUAAUACAUCGGAACAUGUCCUGUAGUGGGGGAUAGCCCGGCGAAAGCCGGAUUAAUACCGCAUACGAUCUGAGGAUGAAAGCGGGGGACCUUCGGGCCUCGCGCUAUAGGGUUGGCCGAUGGCUGAUUAGCUAGUUGGUGGGGUAAAGGCCUACCAAGGCGACGAUCAGUAGCUGGUCUGAGAGGACGACCAGCCACACUGGGACUGAGACACGGCCCAGACUCCUACGGGAGGCAGCAGUGGGGAAUUUUGGACAAUGGGCGCAAGCCUGAUCCAGCAAUGCCGCGUGUGUGAAGAAGGCCUUCGGGUUGUAAAGCACUUUUGUCCGGAAAGAAAUCAUUCUGGCUAAUACCCGGAGUGGAUGACG